CAGGAAGGGCCCCGGGGGUCCCAAGCUCUCGUGGCCACCGAGCACCCCCAGAAGAGGCGCAGACCCCCAGAAGGCCCGGUCUGCAGCCCAGCUCCUUCCCGCGAUCAUUUGCCACCGACUCCCAGAGCACGCAGCCCAUCGCGCCCACCUGCGCCGGCGUUCCCCGUGCGGGGCGGGAAUAGGAGUUAAAGCCGCCCGGGCGCCCAGUGCGCUCUGCCGGCCGGCUGCAUCCACGCGUCUCGCGCCUGGGUUUCUUCGCUGUCUCUUCGCGGCCAUGCGACGCCUGGCGCUUCUUCUGCUCCAGGGGUCCCUGCUGGCCGCGCUGGGCGUCCUCAGGGGGCUCUGAGACCGAGGAAAUGAGGUGUCACAUGACGAGGCAAGCUGCAUGUGGUAGGAGGUACAUUCCUGUGGCCUGGCUCUGCAGCAGAGAGCGGGAGUGCCCGGAUGGGGCAGACGAGCAGUGCGGUGCAGCAACACACAUGAACUGCUCUCCGCCUUCAAAUUGCUGCUCGUUCUUUAUGGAUCCAUUCAGUUCUCUACCGGCAACUUCUGCCUUAGGAAUUUCACCAUAAAUUCUAAGCUACUUGUCAAGGUAUUUUACUUAGGCAAUAAAAGUUCUAUCCUUUGUCAUGCUCCUAAGACUUUUCAGGAGAAAAAGCUAGGAAAGAUUUACGAGGAAAAUGUAACUUUUUAACUAGAUAUUACCAGUUAAAUUGUAAAAUUAUAAGAAAUGUAUUCAAUAUAUUUUAUUUAUUUUAUACCUGAAUCUUUUUUACUGAAAAUUGUUUCUCGACAAUUUUUUUAACCUUUUUCCCCAUUUUUUUUUUUGUUGUGGUACAUUUUUAACUGUAUAGUUCAUUGGUAUCAAAUACAUUCACAAAUGCUACCAUCACCAUCAUCCAUCUCUAGAAAAUUUUUCAUCUUGUAAAACUGCAACUUUUACCCAUGUUUCCCAUCAAAUUCUAUAUAACCAUUUGCUAUAUCCUACAGUAUAUGUGAAAUAAUCUCAAAGUGGUAGUACAAAUAUUUCUACUAGUAUUGACUAUUGAAUCAUAUGUGUUUUGCUCUUUUUUCCCCUUAAAAUGUAAUCCACAUGAGAAUUUAAAAUCAAAAUAUUGUAUUGGAAAGUCAUUUGAAAUGAGUUGUUUUCUCUUUUAGUUAUGUCACCAGAGUGAUAUAUGGUUAUAUUCAUUUAUUUUAGCUUUUUAAAAAAAUUCUUAGUGAUUAAGUUAAUCUUAUGAACAUAAUAAAGCAAUUACAUUACCAAGAAUAAAAACUUUUAUGAGAUAUAUUCAGAAAAAUCUUGCUUCCAUUCCUAGCCCCUCUUUUCUGUUUCUGUAUCACAAUGGGUAACCAUAUUUUAAUUUAAAAUUUUUGUUUUAUUUUAUAUACCUUUAUAAAUAAAGUAUAUAAAUACACUCACAUAAGAGGAAGUAUAAUAGACAUACUCUACUUUGUUUUCUCCAUUUAAUGCAUCUUGUAUGUGUCAUAUUCAUAUGUAGAAAUCGAUUUGCUUGUUUUUAUUGCAUAGUAUACUUUUGUGUGGAUAUAUCACAGUUUAUUCAACUGGUCCCUGUUGAUGAAUGUUUUGGUUGUUGCUAAUGGUUACCUUUGUGAGUAAUUUCACAAUAAUGUUGUUCAUAAAAAAUUCCAUCCCUAAGGGAAAUU